rnacentral:rRNA from 1 species
GACGAACGCUGGCGGCGUGCCUAAUACAUGCAAGUCGAACGCAGUGGGGACGGGUGAGUAACACGUGGGUAACCUCCCGUCAGAGGGGAGAACACUUGGAAACAAGUGCUAAACUGAUACUGAGGGAGGGACUCGCGGGGCAUUAGCUAGUUGGUGAGGUAACGGCUCACCAAGGCUACGAUCCAUAGCCGGCCUGAGAGGGUGAUCGGCCACACUGGAACUGAGACACGGCCCAGACUCCUACGGGAGGCAGCAGUAGGGAAUCUUGGGCAAUGGGCGAAAGCCUGACCGAGCAACGCCGCGUGAGUGAAGAAGGCUUUCGGAUCGUAAAACUCUGUUGUCAGGGAAGCGGUAUCUACCCAGGAAGCCACGGCUAACUACGUGCCAGCAGCCGCGGUAAUUC